rnacentral:rRNA from 1 species
CCCUUAGAUGUCCUGGGCCGCACGCGUGCUACACUGACGCCUACAGCGAGUACUUCCCAGCCCCGAGAGGCGGCUGGUAAUCAGCAAUAGGCGUCGUGAUGGGGAUAGAUCUUUGGAAUUAUGGAUCUUGAACGAGGAAUGCCUAGUAAGCGCAGGUCAUUAGCCUGCGCUGAUUACGUCCCUGCCCUUUGUACACACCGCCCGUCGCUACUACCGAUUUCGAGUGGUCCGGUGAAAUCUCGGGACGGCGGCUUGGUCGCUUGCGUCCGACUGCUGAAACUUGAUUAAACCAUAUCAUUUAGAGGAAGGUGAAGUCGUAACA